UAGGGAAUCUUCGGCAAUGGACGAAAGUCUGACCGAGCAACGCCGCGUGAGUGAAGAAGGUUUUCGGAUCGUAAAACUCUGUUGUUAGAGAAGAACAAGGACGUUAGUAACUGAACGUCCCCUGACGGUAUCUAACCAGAAAGCCACGGCUAACUACGUGCCAGCAGCCGCGGUAAUACGUAGGUGGCAAGCGUUGUCCGGAUUUAUUGGGCGUAAAGCGAGCGCAGGCGGUUUCUUAAGUCUGAUGUGAAAGCCCCCGGCUCAACCGGGGAGGGUCAUUGGAAACUGGGCUACUUGAGUGCCGAAGAGGAGAGUGGAAUUCCAUGUGUAGCGGUGAACUGCGUAGAUAUAUGGAGGAACACCAGUGGCGAAGGCUGCUCUCUGGUCUGUAACUGACGCUGAGGCUCGAAAGCGUGGGGAGCAAACAGG
rnacentral:rRNA from 1 species